rfam:Streptomyces sp. Tu6071 chromosome, whole genome shotgun sequence.
UCCACGAGUCCCGGUGAGAUGAAGUGCACGUGUGUGUCGAUGCCGCCCGCGGUGAGGAUCUUCCCGUUGCCCGCGAUGAUCUCCGUCUCGGGGCCGAUCACGAGGUCGGGGUGCACGCCGUCCAUCGUGUCGGGGUUCCCGGCCUUGCCGAGCGCGACGACGCGCCCGUCGCGGAUGCCGACGUCGGCCUUGACGAUGCCCCAGUGGUCGAGGACGACGACGCCCGUGACGACGGUGUCCGGGGUGCCGUCGGCGCGGCUCGCGCGGGA